GACGAACGCUGGCGGCGUGCUUAACACAUGCAAGUCGAACGGAAAGGCCCUGCUUUUGUGGGGUGCUCGAGUGGCGAACGGGUGAGUAACACGUGAGUAACCUGCCCUUGACUUUGGGAUAACUUCAGGAAACUGGGGCUAAUACCGGAUAGGAGCUCCUGCUGCAUGGUGGGGGUUGGAAAGUUUCGGCGGUUGGGGAUGGACUCGCGGCUUAUCGGCUUGUUGGUGGGGUAGUGGCUUACCAAGGCUUUGACGGGUAGCCGGCCUGAGAGGGUGACCGGCCACAUUGGGCCUGAGAUACGGCCCAGACUCCUACGGGAGGCAGCAGUGGGGAAUAUUGCACUAUGGGCGGAAGCCUGAUGCAGCACCGCCGCGUGCGGGAUGACGGCCUUCGGGUUGUAAACCGCUUCCGCCUGUGCCGAAGCGUGAGUGACGGUAAUGGGUAAAGAAGCACCGGCUAACUACGUG
rnacentral:rRNA from 1 species